rnacentral:rRNA from 1 species
CACCGCGGUUAUACGAGAGGCUCAAGUUGAUAAAUACCGGCGUAAAAAGUGAUUAGCAUCUUAUCAAACUAAAGCUGAACAUCUUCAAAGCUGUUAUACUCAUAUGAAGACAGGAAAUACUUCUACGAAAGUAGCUUUAAAUAGUGUUAUACACGAAAGCUAGGAAA